CCCUGGAAAUACUCCGCAUCAAGUAUGCACAGGGAUGCAAGAAGAAAUUAAUCUUGCCAUCAGUAACACUUUGUUUUUGGAAACUCUCUAUGUCAAAAAGCGUCAGCUCCCAAGAGUUUUGGCUACUUUCUUAAUUAUCUUUGCAACUGAGCAAAUGUUUUCUCUCCUCCUCUAAAGGGAAGGAAUCUGCUGAGGUGUUCACAGCUGCCUGCCUGCCUGCCCUGUCAGAUAGUAGAAGUGGUGAGAUGAUGACCAAGUUGGAUGGUGAACGGAAGAUUCUCGACACCAGAAUGACCUUCUGCCUGAAAAGUUCAUCCAGAGAGUCAUCACUUUGUACCCCUGAUCAGCGUGCUAAGCAAAGAGCAGCUGUGACUCAGCCUGGUGACUGAAGAGAUGGUUCCUGGUUCUUUUAUAGGGCACCUGUGUCCAUUUUGCUGCUGUGGACAUCCAUCUUUA
rnacentral:lncRNA from 1 species